UGUGUCGAAGAACAAGGCUCUUGCUGGCACCAAGUAUUUCCUUUCUCUGGGAGGAGGGAAGAUUGAAAAAAAUUUAAAGAUGUGAUUCUAGCCUUCCAGGAGACGACUGAGAGUGAAAUAACUCUGGAACAAUUGGAAGUAGCUCCUGAGCCAGGGCAAAGGAAUAUAAUGUGGAUUAAAGCACCAGUCAAGAGUAGAGGGCUAAACACAUAUGUUCUGAAUGUACACAGUUAAUCCAGAAGGAUGCCAUAAAUGAGUAGAGUACUGCAAAACUGGGAGACAGUGCUGUUAACAGUUAUCAAGUUCUGUAUGAGCCUUACUAGUAUGGAGACAAGCAAAGCAGGCAUAAGUGGUAGAUAUUUGGACCAACUUUAACAAUUAAAAUAGGAACUCAUUUCUGGCCCUAGGAACAAUGCAAAGAACAGGAAUCCAGUUUCUACUAGCAUGAAG
rnacentral:lncRNA from 1 species